rnacentral:rRNA from 1 species
AGUUGAGUGCCGGAUAGUGGCGGACGGGUGAGUAACACGUGGGCAACCUGCCCUACAGCCUGGGAUACCAUCGGGAAACUGAUGUUAAUACCGGAUACGCUCUUUUGAUCGCAUGAUCUAAGGAGGAAAGAUUUAUCGCUGUAGGAUGGGCCCGCGGUCCAUUAGCUAGUUGGUAGGGUAACGGCCUACCAAGGCGACGAUGGAUAGCUGGUCUGAGAGGACGAUCAGCCACACUGGGACUGAGACACGGCCCAGACUCCUACGGGAGGCAGCAGUGGGGAAUAUUGCGCAAUGGGGGCAACCCUGACGCAGCAAUGCCGCGUGAAGGAUGAAGGCUUUCGAGUCGUAAACUUCUGUCUAGAGGGAUGAAUAAUGACAGUACCUCUGGAGGAAGCCCCGGCUAACUACGUGCCAGCAGCCGCGGUAAUACGUAGGGGGCAAGCGUUGUCCGGAAUCACUGGGCGUAAAGCGCGCGUAGGUGGUCUAGUAAGUCAGAUGUUAAAAUGCGGGGCUCAACCCCGUAAUGCAUUUGAAACUGCUGGACUUGAGGACAGGAGAGGAAAGUGGAAUUCCUAGUGUAGCGGUGAAAUGCGUAGAUAUUAGGAGGAACACCAGUGGCGAAGGCGACUUUCUGGACUGUACCUGACACUGAG